ACCUCAGGCCCUAAGUGUAUCAACCAUAGCACUGACUCUGAUUAUGCCACUGGAAUUUGUUAAAAAUACCAAAAUGUGGGAAAAGAACCACCAAAACUUCUUUGUAGCAGCUGAGUCCUCCAAGGCAUUCCAGCUUUAUGCAGUGAGAAUUGAUAGAGCUUGCACUUCCGGUGGUGUGGCAAAACCCUGGCAUAUUUGCUGCCUAUGCUUUGGGUAAUUGACCACCCAGCUUCCUUUACUCGGCCGAAUAAAAAGCUGUUUUUUUUUCCAAGAACCGCCUCCUGAAUUGUUGGCAUUGGAUUUCUCUGAGAUUCGGGGUUGCAAACCUUACAUUUUCUGGCGCCCAGCGUGGGGCGCGAAGGCGCCGUUCCUUUGCGGUAGCUCACUCCGGGCUCCGCACGAGCGAGCUCCCUUGCGGCGCGGCGACCUUCGGCGCGGCUUCCAGGAGAAACCGGCGCGGACCAGUGAUGACGUCAAAGAGCGCUCCUGGGUAUUUUUUUCCGGUGACCUCGCGCUGAUCUGCGCCCGGCAGACCCUGCUGUGAGCCGGACCCGAACGUCCAUUUCGGAGGCUCUCUUCUAGUACCGGGGACUAGUCAAGUCGGGAAAAACUAGACUUCAGUAGGAACUCACGAGUAUGGCAAUCACCUCAGGAGGAGUUUUCCAAGCUCUUGAGUUGGGGCGUGAAUCUGUUUAAAUCAUGGAUGCCUGCGCUUACUGAAAAUGCUUCCUCUCGCUGACUGCUGCAUGCGCUGACUGAAAAUGCUUGCCUCUUCCUCUCGCUGACCGCUGCAUAUACUGACAUUUCAACUACCAGAUUGACAUUGCUGAACAGCAGUAUAACCAUUGGGUCUACACAUCUAUGCCUCAUCACUGGCAAGGAAGAUUCCCUGUCUACACAAAGCCACUGGAUGACUCU